rnacentral:lncRNA from 1 species
GCGCUUCUUGCUGCCAACAUGUGAAGAAAGACGUGUUUGCUUCCCCUUCCACCAUGAUUGUAAGUUUCCUGAGUCCUCUCCAGCACAGUGGAACUGUGAGUCAAUUAAACCUCUUUCCUUUAUAAAUUACCCAGUCUUAGGUAUGUCCUUAUAGCAGCAUGAGAACAGACUAAUACAUUAUCUUUCUGAAAAUCUAAGACCUCUGAAUUCAAAAUAAAGCUAUCUCUAUGAACUUCAGUUAAGGAGUUGAGGGCUGAAACAACAUCUGUUCAAAGUGCUUAUGUGGUACAUGUCAAGAAAUUGUUGUUAUUAAUCUUUUGUACAUUAUUUUGUUUACCACUUGUGGUAAUUAGUUAUUCAGCCUCAACUGCAGAUGUGGGCAUCGGAGCUCAGACUACUAAAAAAACUUAUCCUAAGAAUCAAUUCUUAGUUCAAAGUAUACGUUCUAUACCUGUAACUUUUAAUUUGAAAAAUGUCAUUAAGAGGCACUAUAUUAAACCUAAUUUUAGACAUAAAUGUAUUUCUUUUCUCUUUCCCUGUACUGUUAGUCAUUACCUGUAUAAGUAAAGAUUGUUUUUAGCUGAAGCUACUAAGGGUCUGAAUCCAGUAGAGGGUUAUUUAAAAACAAAAGCUAGAUCCCAAGACUUAGAACUAGAAAGUGGUGUGAUGGGAAUAUGGCUUUCUGGGAAGGGGAGGGGAAGACUCUGAUCUGUAGUGUUUGCCAGUUUCUGUGGUGUAAAUGCCCUCUCCAUGCCAAUUUCAAACUGCCAGGUUUUUGGAAGCAGCUCACAAAAUUCCUUGAAAUUAAUGUAACAAGUGGCUCUUAACAAGUCAAUAUGAGGUCGUUCCAGUCCACUGCUGGAACUAGGUCAUUUUUCAAAAGUCUAAGAUGACUGCAGGUAGGGCCUUUUUUUUUUUUUUUUUUUUUUUUUUGAGACGGAGUCUCGCUCUGUCACCCAGGCUGGAGUGCAGUGGCGCGAUCUAGACUCACUGCAAGCUCCCCUCCCGGGUUCACGCCAUUCUCCCACCUCAGCCUCCCAAGUAGCUGGGACUACAGGUGCCCGCCACCAGGCCGGCUAAUUUUUUGUAUUUUUAGUAGAGACGGGGUUUCACCGUGUUAGUAGGAUGGUCUCGAUCUCCUGACCUCGUGAUCCGCCCGUCUGAGCCUCCCAAAGUGCUGAGAUUACAGGCGUGAGCCACCGCGCCCGGCCAGGCCUUUCUCUCUUGAAAGCAUCUAGAGUACCCAAGGUAGAUUUUGCUUCAGUUCCUGUGUGUCUAUGAAAAAUUCCUGUGGGGAAAUGGAGGCUGCCCUGCAACUCAACAACCAUGAAAUAGGGACCUACUCUAUAUCAGGCACUGGGAAAAACACUGAGGUUAUAAAAAGAAAUCAAUUGCAUGGUCCUGACUCUUGAGAUUCUUUCAUUCUUGUAGGUAAAAUCAACAAGGAAGGCGAUGAGCACAGCAGUGUGAAGAGCAUAGAGUCUGGGUCCUCCAGAGAUGACAGAGGAAAAGAUGUUUCCAAAGGAUUAGAGAACAUCGAAACAGAGAAUCAAUGAGAGGAAAGUGUCUCUUCAUUUGUUUUCCCCGACCUCUCACCUUCCAUUAUAAGCUGGAAACCUGGUCAGCAAACUCCCCUUAACAACCUCCCACAGUGCUCCCAAAUGCACAUACAUUGUCCUGAUUCCUCCAGGCUUCUGCCUUUUCCCCGCAUGAUAUACACCACUGCCUCCACUAUUGAAUUUUAUUCUGUUCCUUACAAUAGCUCUCGUGUAUCUUAGUCUAAGCUGCUCUCAUUACCUGGAGAGUCUCAUUCCCUCUGCCUAGAAUACUCACCUUCCACUGAGCCCUUGCCCCCAGCUACCACCACCAUGCAACCAUCUACACAUCACUGUAUCCAGAAAGUCUUCACAGCCCCUGAAUGGCAUCAGGACUCCUCUGAUCUGCAGGGCACUGUUGUGGUCAUCUCUAAUAGAACUCAUACACUGUAUUGCUAUUUAUCUUACUCACUUUCUCCUCGAUAUACUGUAAGUUCAAUGAUUUCAAGGAGCAAUGUAUGUUCGGUUCAACAUUUUGUUUCCAGACCUUAGUGUGGUUCUUGACACAGCCUCCCUGCCCCUUGUUAAAUAUUUAGUGCAUAAAUAACAAUACCUAACAUUUAUUGAACACAUAUUAUAGGACCACCACUGUUUAAGGGCUUUAAAGAUAUUGUUAAUUCUUUAAACAAUUUCUAAAGAAAAUGCCAUUGUUAUCUCCAUUUAAUAGAGGAGAAACUUUGGGUUAAGGGUGUUAGAGAAUUUACUUGAAGCUACAUGAUAACUUUGUAGUGGAGAAGGGAAUGGAAAGCGCGAAUGCCUUGAGAACCCAAGCUCUGACUCACUUUGUUGACUGUUACAAACCCACAGCUCUUACCCACUGUGUUUAUUUUCCCCAUGAACUCUGUGACUUCCCUGGGAUUUGGUACAAAGGGAAUAUUGCACUAGAAGCAGAUUCCUUUCAGCACCAACAUGCUGUCUUUGUGAGACUUGAUGUUUGGGUAUGGGGUGGAAUGGGAGUAGAAACAGAUGUCUCUUAAGCAUCUUCUUAUUGACAGCUAUGUGCAUGAUGUCUCAGCUCCCAGGCUUCCACUUUAGCAGAGAAGCUUCCCCAUUCCAGUUCUGAUGAAUUCUGUGAAGAACAAAAUGUUACCAAGGCUGGCCCAAUGAAUAGUUUGCCUAGCAGUUUCUGGCAGUUAACAACACACCCUGUCAUAUUCAUGAGCAUCCACCCCAAAGAAUAACCCAGUUGCUUUUAUGGUAUUUGUGAGGGUAGAAGUUUGGGUCAAAUGGGGUAAUCAUAUUUCAUAAGAGAUCCAAUGAGUUUUAGGCUUUUAAACACUAGCCUCUUUUCCUUAAGGAAUUGUUGAAGGUUUUCCCCCAUUUUAUUCCUAUUUGACCACUCCUUCCCCAUUCACCUGGACAAGAUUUUGAUGGCAAAGAGGAUAUUUUAUACAAGCCCAGAAACAAUAGCUUUAAAGGAGAUUGAAGCCAUCAGCCCCGAAAAGCAACACGCAUGUCCUAAAGAAGUAGACUUCAUGGAGUUCAGACAAAUCUGCUUGGGUGGAUGUGGUAACGUUGGUUUUUACUGUCUCUAUUUCUCCAGAGCACUUUCCCAUUCUCAUUCUUCCGCUCAGCACACUUCAGGGAGAUGCACUAACUCCUUUUGCACUUCAUGGCCUGGUAUCCGUCAAUUUCUGGGUGCCACCAAAAUCAUAUGUACACAAGAACUCAUUCACUCAACACAUAUUUAUGAGCAUCAAUUUCCCGUGAAGGGUGUCAGCCAAAUGGGAUGAUUCUGCAUUUAAAUACUGUGGUGGAGGAGUGGACCAAUGUUCACUAUGAAUAUAAUUACUAGUAUGUGUCCAAGGAUGAAUUCCUAAAAUUAAGUCAUAGAUUCCACUUUUGAGAUUUACAUUGUUUCUUUUAAUUAUGUCAGACUCUGUGGUAUGUAGGUGAGCCAGCUUGGAUUGGGUCAGACACAAGGAUACAAACUUUUUUUGUUAUUGUUUUGUUAGUGAUGGAGUCUUGCUCUGUUGCCCAGGCUAGAGUGCAGCAGCUUAAACACAGCUCACUGCAGCCUCAACUUCCUGGGCUCAAGUGAUCCUCCCACUUCAACCUCCUUGUAGCUGUGACUAUGGGCACUCUCCACCACAUCUGGCUAUCUUUUUUUUUUUUUUUUUUUUUUUUCAUUUUUUGAAGAGACAGGCUCUCGCUUUGUUGCCCAGGCUGGUCUCCAACUCCUGGGCACAAGUGAUCCUCCCACCACAGCCUCCCAAAAUGCUGGGAUUACAGGCAUGAGCCACUGCACUUGGCCUAAACAUGUUUCUUUUUACCAGUAAUAUUAUUCCUCAGUGUUAAGAUAAUUUAUAUUUGAAACCAUAUUUUAACUGAAGAACAAACUAUUAGCGAUUAUUUAUAUCUCAACAUAAGUAAGCAUAUUUGAUAAGCUAAAAUGGAAACAAGGGUAAGUCUCUUUUAAGAGGAGGGACAAAGAAUAUCUUAAGACUAGGAUCCUGGUAUUUGAAGUAGAAUUUAGAAAAAAUGACCUUAAGCACCUCUGUACUGUCGCAAAGAAAUGAUAGGGUGGGGGGAAGAAAGAUGUUGAGAGAGAUGCAUAGAGAGAAGAGGAAUGUCAGAGUUUUGUCUCACAAAUAUAUCCCACAGUUUUACCUUCAAACCAAUUGCAUGAGUUUCACAAGAGUAAAUAGACUCCCUUAGAAGUGUGUUACAGACAAGAGAAUCAACAAGUUCAAUAUGGCUCUCAGAGAUAAAAAAAUAUUUUUAAAAGUCCAGAAAAACAGAUGUGCCUCAGUAUAAGAAAUAUCUUUUUAGGUGUCAGAUAUGCCCCAAAGUAGAAUAGAUGACCUGGAAAUGUAGUGAGUUUCCGGUCCCUGGAAGUGUACAAACAGAGGUUGGAUGACCAUUUGGUGGAGAUGUUUUCACAUGAGCUCCAGCAUUAGUCACACUUUGAGACUAAAAUAAAAAAUAAAUAGAAAUGAACAAAUCCUGUGUCGUAUACUUAGGACCGUACUUUACUUUACUACAAGUAACACAAUACAACUUAGAAAAAUGAGGGUUAUUUGUUGAAUAUUUCAUGAAGUCCAAAGUUAGGUAGUACAGGGUGGUAAAUUGGCUCUUCAAUGCAACCAUGGACUAGAGAAAUGUAUAAUUGUUUUACUCUGCUGUCAUUAUUAUUUAGACCUUGUUCUCAUGCUCCUAACAAUGAUAAAGUUAACAAUGAUAAUAAUGGUAAUAAUAAUAUGCUAAUAAUGUUAACACUUGUAGAGCUAACCAAGCACCAAGAAUUUGUGUAAUCACUUUUACGUAAUUAAUGCAUUUACUCAUUACAAGAUAGCUGUAAUAAGACAGACCUCAUGUCUAUGUUCCAGUAAACAAAAAAAGGUAGGUGUUUGUGAGAGAGACUAAAAAGGCUAAGGGAGGGUCCUUUUUAUCAGGAUAAUACACAAGUUUUUAGAAGCUCACCAAAGAGAAGUCUGCUUUUGUUUCUUUGGACAGAAGUAUAUCACAUGACCAUCCUUAGCUAGGAGGUGGACAAGGGAAAAGGAAUCAUGGAUGGGGACUGGGUCAACCCAAAAACGGGUUUUGGCAUAUGAGUUAAUCCUUUUCACAACCAUAAUGUCAUUGAUCCUUUCAACAAUUCUACAUACUAGAUGCCCCAAACAAAACAAAACAAAACAAAACAAAACCAACAGUGAGGAACACAGAGUUUUGAGUAGCCAGUUAUUUAGGUAUUAACUUCCAAAGUUGACAUGUGGACCUGCCUACAGUGAUUUCAGAAAUCAUACUUCUAUGCUUGUCACUACUACACAAGGCUAUCUCCCUAGAUUGGUUUUAAUGUUCCCCCUUCCCUGAAACAUGAUAACUGAGAUGUGCUAGUCACCUUGAAAUAGAAGACCAAGUAAAAUUACACAGUGGAAGCCCAGGGUCAGUUUUUUUCCUGUAAUGGCUUUCCAUGAAUUUGCUGGAUACAGUAAAUGUCUAACGAGGUGAAUGCUCAAUGCCACUUAAAAAGGCCUAAACUCAGGCUGGCACCAGAAUGAAGAGCACUGUUCCUGCCACCACUGAGCAAGGCACAGAUUCUCUGGAAGGAAAGUCGUUCUCUGGAAAUAGGUUAGAUCCUUUCAAUAGCAUGUUGCUCAUAUCAGGUCACAAGAGUAUCAGUGAUGCAGCUUCAGAUUAAUGUCAUCUGCAGCAGUUCAGUGACCUGAGGAGGAUGCUCUUUCCUAGGUUGUUUCAUCUGACCUUCCAAGAGAGAUAUAAGCACUAGGAAAAUCUGGAUCACUGUAUGAUGGAGCCAUUUCCUUUUUGGCAGAGGCAGAGAUAGCAGCCAGGCUAUUCCUGUGAGAUCUGUAGGUUAAAAGACUAAGAGACUUUGAUGACUGCCCAAAAUAUCUGCUGUGAUCCUAGAACUACCUCUGCCCAUGUGGAGGCAGCAUAGCACAGGCAUAAGUACAGGCUGAGUUGGAUUUGGAUUCCAGUCCUCCACUCCCACACCUUAGCAAUGCUACCUUAACCUUCAAAACUUACAUGAUUGUUCUGAGAAUUAAAUAAGCUGACAUCUUGCAAGCACUCAACAAGGUGGGUGUUUGGCACAAAAGGAAUAGUCCAUAGCUGUUGGUUGCUAUUCAUUAUUAUUACUGCUGUUAUUCUUGCUGUUGGUUAUAUUAUUAUUAUUAUUAUUUUAAAGAGUAAGUUUGAGUUUCUCAACAUUUAGAGGACAAAACACUGGAAAAAUCCCAGAUAUCUCCAAAGCAAACUUGAGGUCCAUGAAUACGGAUUGGAGUUCAGACAUCUAAAUCAGUACUUAGUCAUUACAAUUUGAAGCUGGAAGUCUGUCUUCAGACAAUUUCAGAGCAGGCUAGUAGACCUAUGAAUGCUGAUUCAGAAUGUAAAAGAUCUUUACAAAUCAAUCAUAUGUGGCUAAGGUGAACCAGUAGUGGGAGAAACACCUAGAGCGAGGCACCAGUGUCUCAAAAAAUCAACCCCUAGGUCUGUCCUGUGUCUUUCUUAGAUAAAGCAGUAGCUUCUACUCAGAGGAAUGACAAUAUAAACCACUAACAUUUUUUUGAACACUCAGACACUUACUUUGUGCCCAGAUGACAUUCUAAACCUACAUGUAUUAGCACACUUAAGCCACACAGUUCCUGGAGGUAGGUUCUAUUAUCUUCUCCAUCAUAAAGUUAAGGAGACUGAGGUAGACAGAAGUUGAACAACUGGUCCAAGGGUACUGAGCCUGUGAGCGGCAACUCUGGGCUCUGGACUCAUGUAAGGACACUAGAAAUGGAUCCCUUCCCCCUGCUUUACUGCCUUCUAAAGAGAGGAGGAGAAGCGGGCUUACAGGAGCUGCCCCUGACCAUUACUUGCUCUCUUACUCACUUCUCUCCAGUGAUGUUGAGUUCUCUUUCUUUCCUGGACCCAUGGAACUUACUCCCAUUUGCAUUUUCUGUUUUGUCUUGCUUAAAAUGCAUUCAGAGUUCCCUCAGAGAGAGAGAAUGACUCCUCAGAAGGUAUCAUUUAUCACAGAAUCUGAAAUUUAAACAUAUAACAAAAACACAACAAAACAAAAUCCUAUAUAUUCUAUAUUCUAGUAGUAUAUUAUACUUGUCAUUAAAUUGGAUUAAAUUUUCAGUUCUCAACCCCCUCCUCCAUCUCCCAAAGAAAGAUUAAAAAUCAGCCAUCAGAGUCACUUAGGUUAUCCAUUCAUCUUGGUUUGCCCAGGACAAUCCCAGUUUGUGCCAGUUUUCCUGGUGUAAUUAUUGAGAAUCCUGUUUCACUUUAAAAGUGUCUCAGUUUAGAAAAUAAAUUAUAUGGCAGCCUGUUCGUAACGGGAAUUUCUAUUUGCCAGUUAUCUGUUUACUAAGCAGGGUAUCUUACUUAGGUGCAAUUCUUUCCAGAAGCAGACAGGGAAAGGAGGCUGUACCUACUGAGAUCCAAGCCUUGACAACUAGAUCAUAAGUCUAGUUGUCCCUGUCCUUAGGUGACUAGAAAAUCUUCCCAGCUCUGACUCUUCUCCCCACCAUCUGCACCAUUUAAUCUCAACUCCUGUAUCAGUUACUACCUCUAUGAUAGAGUUGGUAAUGUUUGUUCGAUGACAUUUUUCUUUUUUGCAUAUAUUUCUUAAUUCCAUAAAGAGAAACACGAUUAAUAGCUAAGUUUUUUAUUUUAUUUCUCAUGGUGUCUAGCACAAGGCUAUGCAUUAACUAGGGACACUAAAUGUUCAUAGAAAAGAUAAAGUACAAGAAGAAGAGAGAGAUGUAUGAAAUAUAAAAGCAAAGAAAGAAGAAAAGAAGGGAGGCAGGAAGGAAAGGAGAGAAAGAGGGAGGAAAGAAGGCAAAAAAAAAAAAAAAGAAAGAAAGAAAGAAAAAGGAAGGAGGAGGGAAAGCAAAUUUGGUAUAUAUUUCCUACAACACCAAGACUAAAUGGAAGCCAGUUGGUCCCUUACAACAAUGGGCUUGUUUCAACCAAGGCAAGCACAUGAAUCUUCCCUUGGCCAUUCUCUGUGCUACUGUGAGCAAUGUGCAUUUCUAAACUGAAGAGUUGCAGUCAGGCUGGACUGUAAUUGGGUUCAUCUCAUAUUAGCUACUUAAGAGAAGCUACGUGCCUUUCUACUUGGACAAUCUUAGAAGCCUUCUAAAUAAAUAAAGGAUGAAAGGCAAUUUGUUUAAAAAUAAGGAGUGCUUUCACCAGAGGCUGCUUUCUUCAAGAGUACUAAGUUUCUUCACAAACAACUACAAUACGGAGGUUCUUUUCUAAAUGAAUAACCUUAUUACUUCCAGAGCCCAAUCCUUUUUUUUUUUUUUUUUUUUUUUACUGGUUUAACAGAAAUCUAAUGAUUUACCAUCUCUUUAUAACUUUGAUUUGCAAAUAAAAUAAGUGCUUAUCAGAUAAAAAUUGUUGCUUCCACGAUGGUCUCAAGUUAAGCAUCUCCUAUUAAAAAAUACUUUCUCAAAUAUUGAUGCUUUGUGUUUAUUACAACAUUCUGCAAUAACUUGGCAAAACACAAAAUUUUAUAAUUUUAAUCAUUUUCUCUAUACUAUGUAUAAGAAAUGAACUAAGAUUUAAGAAAGUAUAAUCACUUAAAUAAUUAUUAUUUCUCUUUACCUUUAAUUCACUAAUGAAAUCACUUUUUCACUUAACUCUGAUUGUAUUUAUCCAUUCAUGAAUACAUGAAUUUGCAGUUAUUACUUAAUGAAUAACUACUGUAUGCAAAUGACAGUAUAUGAGACUUGCAAAACUAAAUAAAAAAACAAAAUUCAACAAUGCUUUAUGAUUAAACCAGGAAGUAGGGAUGGAAGCGUGCUUCUUCAACCUGAUUUACAAAAAGCUCACAACUAAUCACGUAUAUAAUGGUGAAAGAAUGGGUUCUUUCCCUCUAAGGUCAGGAAGAAGAACAGGUUAUUUUCUCUUGCCACUUUUAGUCAAUAUUGGGAUGGAGGUUCUAAUGAGAGCAAUUAAGCAAGUAAAUUAAAUAAGGAACAUCCAGACUAGAAAGGAAGAAAUAGUACUAUUUCUAUUUGCAGAUGGCACGAUCCUGUAUUUGGAAAAUCCCAACAAAUCCACUAAAAAAGCUAUUGGAACUAAUAAAUGAGUUCAUCAAGGUUGCAAGCUACAAAAUCAAUGGGCAAAAAUCUAUUGUAUUUUUAUAUACUUAGAAUAAAUGAUACAAAAAUAAAAUUAGCAAAAAAUUCAAUUUACAAUAGCAUCAAAAAGAAUCCAGUAUGUAAAAAUUAAUGCAGCAAGAUAAGUGCAAAAUAUAUACUCUGAAUACAAAAAAACCACUGUUGAAAGAAAUUAUAGACAACUUAAAUAAUUGAAAAGGCAUCCAAUGUUCAUGACUUUAAAAACUGAAUAUUGUUGAGAUGACAAUACCCCCAAUGUGGUCUACAGAUUCAGUGCAGGCCUUAUUAGAGUCUCAGCUGAUUUCUUCAGAUAAAUUGAUGAGUUGAUUCUAAAAUUCAUAUGGAAUUGCAAAAGGCCCAGAAUAGACAAAAACAAUCUUGAAAAAAACUACAGAGUAUCACACUUCUUGAUUUCAAAACUUACUACAAAACAAUGGCAGUCAAUACAAUGUGUUACUGUACAAGUAAAGAUCAAUGGGAUUGAAUUGAGAGUCCAGAACAAAGCCAUGUGUCCAUGGUUAAUUGAUUUUCAACAAUUGAUGCAAGACCAUUCAACGGGGAAAGAACACUAUUUUCAACUGAUUAUCCAGUUGCUGGUGGGACAUCUGGAUAGCUGCUUGCAAAAGAAUGAAGUUAGACCCUACUUCACACCAAUCAAACUUUUUAAAUGUGGCUUGGAAAUAGUUUAUCUAUUCCUGAAUGCAGGAGACAUUAACACAAGUACACCUGCAUCCACACAGACAUAAACACACUAUUUCUGUUUAUGAAAUAGUAUGAAAGCCCUUAAAAUAAAGGCUUUAGAGCCAGUGACUUACCCCUCAAGGAACGUGUAGUCUAGUCAAGCAGAGAAAGAAGAAAUCCACCAGUUCAACAUUCUAUAAUCAAUAACAUAUGGCCAUUAUGUGGAUCAAAAUGAGAGCACUAAUCUAGACUAGGGUGGGUCAGGGAAUGAUCCUCUAAGGAUCCAUGCUUGAGAUGACCAUUGACAAAUGGAUGGGUUCGUGAUGGUCAGGAGGGUGAAGGAUGAACUGUGUGAUCCAUACAUUUAUGGAACGUUCCAUACAUUUAUGCAACGACUUUAAGUUGGUUUGGCUUUCAAGGGCAAUGUAUCUUGAGGUAUGAAAGACUUUGAAGAAAGAGUGGUAGACCAAGGACAAAACAUGAAGCCCAAAGUAAUGUUGAAACACUUUUAGGCUGGGUGCGGUGGCUCACGCCUGUAAUCCCAGCACUUUGGGAGGCCGAGGUGGGUGGAUCACAAGGUCAGGAGAUCGAGACCAUCCUGGUUAACACGGUGAAACCCUGUCUCUACUAAAAGGCCAAAAAAUUAGCCGGGCAUGGUGGUGGGCGCCUGUAAUCCCAGCUACUCGGGAGGCGGAGGCAGGAGAAAGGCAUGUACCGGGGAGGUGGAGCUUGCAGUGAGCUGAGAUAGCGCCAUUAUACUCGGGCCUGGGCGAAAGACCGAGACUCCAUCUCAAAAAAAAAAAAAAAAAAAUAAGAAACGCUUUUUAAAUAAUCACAGCAAGAUGCAAAGGAAAGAAUCCAUAUACAUGGGUUGUAAUAUCAGAUGGUUUUCUAAUCAAACAUGAAUCUUUAGGAACUCUUAACUUCAAUGUUCUUAUCUCUAAAGUACUUCUUAACUUCAAUGUUCUUAUCUCUAAAGUAGUACUUGUUCUAAAAUUUAUUUAGCUUUAAAUUUUAGAAUCUUGCCUAUUUGCAGACAGAUCUCUAGAGCAGACCUUUAAAAUAGAAAAGUGUAUCUGUGGAAAGCACGCCAUUAAAAACAAAAACAACCACUGCAACAAAAAUGCUCCUUUACUUAUAAAACGAGCCAAACAAGAACACAGAAUGAUUUAAAAACAAAUCUAAGUCAUAAUUCCAAGAAACAUAGUUUGUUCUUUUUCCUUCUCUUCCCACUCCGUAGGACACUUUUCCAAGCCUUUUAGCCUUUGAUGCAGAACAAGCAAGAGGACUCUACUCUCAUAAUAACUGUAAUCCUCUGCUUCAGGCACCAGACACUAACACUCCGCCAGACCUUCACCACCCCGUGAAGCCAAGCACCAAACCACAAGCAGAAUGGCUUGCAGGGUAGACAGCAUAUUGCCCUGAUGUUAGACAUGGAACUGCUAGGUCAGCUCCUAUAUUUAGACAGCUGCUUCACCAUUGGAAAAAUUACUCUCUCUUUUUCAAUCUAAAAACACACAUAACUAUAUAUAUAUGCAAAUGUAUACAUGCACACAUACACACACACACACACACACACACCAUCCUGAGGGCUAGCUAAUUCCUAAAGAGAGUGAACAACUUGUCUGUGUGUGCACCCUUCAUAUCAGACCAGCCAAUCCAAUAAACCAUGUACGUAACCACCUCUUUUAUCAAGUUUUUACACCCCAGGCCACUAUUCCCCUGUAUUAAUCACCCUCAGGUCAGGUCAUUGUCAAUUAGGGACAACCUCUAUGCCCUAGAGCCUGUCAAAAAUCUUCAAAUUAGCCAGUCUAUAACCUGCUUAUCCUGUCUUGCCCUUUUCUUCUUGGAGAAAUCACAAUAAAGACUGGUUGCAAAUUCACCUCACCCCCUCUGCUUUCUGACCAACUCUGGUGUUUCUCUGUAUGGCCCUCCCAUUACCUGGAUUGUCCCUUCUUUUGGGAUCUGUAAGUCUAAUUGUAUUUUCAGAAAUAGUUAUUUCCUGACCUAUUGGCUUUUCCAUACCUAAAUAGUAAUAAAACCUAUACUUUAAAACACGUACAGACACACAUAUGUACAUUAAUGGCUAACAAAAUAGUUACCUUUCCAUUUAUAGUAUCUAGUAAAAGAUGAACCUGAUUUCAAAUCCCACAUUCUAAUUUUGGUUUAAUUCUUUUGGGAAAAUGUAGGACUCAAUUUCAUUCAUUGUUAUAAAAAUAGGACAAUAGAAACUUGCAGGUAAUUCUAAGAAAAAAUGCAUUUAUGUAUGCGUGUGUGUAUGUGUGUGUUUAGAAGGAGGAAGAAAAAGAAACUUCUUAUAAAGUAUAGCUACAUUAAAGUCAGUGUGUAAAGAAGAAAACCUUGCAUUAUCAAUGCUACCCUUGAAAAUUACUUAGGAAGCAGCCUAAUGAUUUUCUAUGUGCCAUUUUUCAGUGAGUCCAGUAAAACAAUCUUUUUAACCAACAUUGGAAAUUUGUUCUUGUGUUGAGGGGCCAGAUGAAAUUUUGGCUUGGCCAGGUGCGGUCGCUCACGACUGUAAUCCCAGCACUUUGGGAAGCUGAGAUGGGCUGAUCACCUGAGGUCAGGAGUUCGAGACCAUCCUGGCCAAUAUGGUGAAACCCCAUCUCGUCUAAAAACACAAAAGUUAGCAGAGCAUGGUGGCAGGCGCCUGUAGUCCCAGCUACUCGGGAGGUUGAGGCAGGAGAAUUCCUUGAACCCGGGAGGUGGAGGGUGCAGUGAGCUGAGAUAGUGCCUCUGCACUCCAGCCUGGGCAACAGAGUGAGACUCCAUCUCAAAAAAAAAAAAAAAAGUUCAAAGAAUUCUCUAAUGCCCCCUCAUUGCCACCCCAAAUGUUUUCUGUUAUUUGCAUGUUCUAUUAGUAUGUUCUUCAAAUGUUACAAUUAAUGAACCAAUAGCAAUACAUUAUUAUCAACUAAAGCCCAUAGUUCACAAUAGAUUCACUCUUUGUGUUGUACAUUUUAUGGGUUUUGACAAAUCACAGUUUUUCCUUUUCCUGAAUGUUAUAUAGUUAAAAUUAUGCAGUAUGUAGCCUUUUCAGAUUGGCUUCUUUCAGUUAGAAAUAUGCAUUUAAGGUUCUUUCAUAUCUUUUCAUGACUUUAUAGUUUAUUCCUUUUUGUUGCUGAAUAAUAUUGCAUUGUAUAGAUAUACCACAGUUUGUUUAUUCAUUAACCUAUUGAAAAACAUCUUGGUUAAAGCUAUUAUAAACAUUCUUGUGCAGUUUUUGUAUUGAUAUAAGUUUUCAACUCAUUAGGUAUAUACUAAGGAGUGUAGUUAUUGUGUUUAUGGUGUCUUCGUCCAUUUGGGCUGCUAUAACAAAAAUAGUAUAAAGUGGUUGGUUCAAACAACAUUAUUUCUCACAGUUAUGGAGGCUGAGAAGUCUGAGAUCAAGGAACCAGCAGAUUUGGUGCCUGGUGAAGACCUGCUUCCUAGUUCAUAGGUGGCUGCCUUCUCCCUGAGUUCUCACAUGGCAGAAAUGGCACUGGAGAUUUCUGGAUUCCUUGUAUAAGGGCACUAAUCCCCUUUAUAAGGGCUCCACCUUGAUGACCAAAUCACCUCCCAAAGGCCUUACUGUCAAAUGCCAUCACAUUGGGAAUUAGGUUUCAACAUAUAAAUUUGGUGGAGAUGUAAACAUUCAGUCUUUAGUACGUGGUAAGAGUACUUUUAGCUUUAUAACAAACUGCCAAAUUAUCUUCCAUUUUUCAUGUGACACUUUUCAUUUUUAUAAGCAAUGAAUGAUAGUUCCUGUUGCUCUACAACCUCACCAGCAUUUGGUAUUGCCACUGUUUUGAAUUUUAACCUUUCUAAUAAGUGCCUAGUGGCAUCUCAUUAUUGUUUUAUUUUCAGUUCCCUAAUGCCAUAUGAUAUUGAAUAUCUUUUCAAAUGCUUAUUUGCCCUCUCUAUAUCUUCUUUUAUGAGGAAUAUAUUCAGAUUAUUUUGCUCUUUUUAAAAUUGGAUUAUUUGUUUUCUCACUUUUUUUUUUAGGAUUUUUUGGUGUAUUUUGGAUAUAAGUUCUUUGUCAAAUCUAUGUUUUGCAAAUGUUUUCUUCCUAUCUGUGGCUUGCCUUUUUAUUCUCAACUUUCUUCACCAUUUACAGUAUUUUUAAUUAGGAUAUUCAUCAUAUAACAUAAAAUUCACUAUUGAAAAGUCUACAGUUCAGGAUUUUUCAGAUAUUCACUCUUUUGUGCAACUACCACAUCUGUCUAAUUCCAGGACAUUUUUAUCACUCCAUACCUACUAAUAGUUAGUUCCAAUACCCUUCCCCUCUUCCCUGGAAACCACUAAUUUAGUUUUUGUCUCUAUUGAUGUUCCUACUCUUCAAUUUUCAUGCCAAUAAAAUUGUACAAUAUGUGGCCUUUGUUUCUGGAUUCAUUAAAUUAGUAUAAUCUUUCCAAAGUCCACUAAUGUUGUAGCAUGUAACAGGACUUAAAUAUCACUUUUUAUGGCUGAAUAGUAAAGGUUUGGGUUUUCUUUUUUUCUUUUUUUUUUUUUAACCCGUGUAAAUCCUCACAGCAUUUAUUAUUAAACUUACUCACUCAAUAUUAGCAGACUUAUAUAUAAGUCAAAAUUCUAAUAGGAGAUGAAAGAUACACUCAGAAGGAAUUCAGAAGAGAACUUAAGGUAGGCACUACUUAUAGGCAGGCUUCAGAGAACCAUAAAAUGUGUUGAAGUACCAAGAGAUUGGCAAUUUGCAAACCCCUUACAUCCUGAGGAGGUAAGAAGAAGAUAGUAUGUUACUAGAGUCCCUCGGAAAGCUAAAACCAUGAAAGAAGGGCAUCCUGGCAGAAGUUUUUAUUUUAGAGGGACACAACUGUUGCAAAAACAGCAAAAAAUACAUGGACAAAGAAAUAUUAGUGUAGAUCACCAAUCUCUUGUUGAUUGAUUUUCAUUGGUUGAAUGAAAGUGGAAGGUUGAUCAAGUCUGAUGGCUUCUGCAACUCAGAGAACAGAGGAGAAUGGAGCAGAGACUUUUUGCGGAGAAGGGGUAAAUAGGAUAACCAGCAUAAAUUAUAUUUAAUUCCUUUCCAAGUUUACCUGUUCACUGGAGACAUUGUUAAAUGAAUGAGCAGAUACAAUUUAGCACACAAAGAUCUGACUGUCUACACCCAGAAUGGUUACAUUGGCAAAAGCCAGGACUUGGUAUCACAUCUGUGUACCUACUGCUGUGUUAUUUUGAGAAACUGAUUCAUUACGCCUCUGAGCAUGAGUUGUUUCCUUCAUGAAAAAUAAUAAUAUUACCAAUGUAAUGGCUGGUUUUGCAUCUCAAUAAUUUAGUGUAUUAGACAUAUUGUAGUCACUCAAAUGGUUGCUAUGAUCAUACAAUAUUAACACUUUUCUUAAAAAAUCAGUUGAAAGUGAAUAAUUAAAUAUAACUGUAGUUAUAGAUAUUAAUUCUAAAUUUUCCUGAAAUUAAAUAAAAAGAUAUUCAAUAAAAGGCAAAAUGAUCCAAUUCUAGUCAUUAGCAAAACUCUGUUGUUUUAUUCAAUCAAUAUUUGUAUGAAAAAUUUCAACAUUAUUUCCUCCAAUACUAUUCUCCAGUUAUUGGGAGAAUCUUUCUAUCCAUCACUGCCCCAUUAAGUCAUGGUCAAAAUGAAAUUUGCCAUGACUGCAUUAUGUUUGAUCACUCUGAUUUCUGGCUUAAAGAAGACUUUCAGAAAGAAAAAGAAAUAACAUUAACAAUUCAGUUUUUGGAAAUAUUCGUUAUAUUUAACUACUGAUAAACUUUUUCUUCCUUUUCUGGUAAACAGUCCUGUUUCUGUUGGAGAAAGCCAUGCUCUAUGGGUUGAAUGUGACAUACCUGGCUCUUUUCUGCAUUCCCUCAUACAAAGAUGCAUACUUCACCCAGGUUAAUCAAAUCAAUGUACCUUAUUCUCCGAAAUUAGGAACUUUAAAUAGAUUGUUCUUAUUUAUAGUUGCCAAAAAAGACUAUUUUUCAGUGAACUGGCAGUAUAAUGUGGACUUGGGACCUUCAGCAGCCAUCUUUCCCAUUAUGUGCAAGGUAUUUGAGAAGAAAGCAAAGUGAAGGAAUGUGAAAUGAAAUAGACUAGCAAUGUAACCCGAACCUCUAGGUUUGGCCAGACUUGGCUUUCAAUUCACCAGUUUUGUAAAUAGAAGUAAUAAAUGGUUGGCCAGGAGCAGUGGCUCACGCCUGUAAUCCCAGCACUCUGGGAGGCUGAGGUGGGCGGAUCACGAGGUCAGGAGAUCUAGACCAUUCUGGCUGACACGGUGAAACCCCGUCUCUACUAAAAAAACCAAAACAAAACAAAAAAUUAGCCGGGUGUGGUGGCGAGCACCUGUAGUCCCAGGUACUCGGAAGGCUGAAGCAGGAGAAUGGCAUGAACCCGGGAGGCGGA